rnacentral:rRNA from 1 species
GUCGAGGGGCAGCGAGAGUGAUAGCAAUAUUACUUGUCGGCGACCGGCGCACGGGUGCGUAACGCGUAUGCAACCUACCAUCAACAGGGGGAUAACACUGAGAAAUUGGUACUAAUACCCCAUAAUAUCUCAUGCGGCAUCGCAUGGGGUUGAAAACUCCGGUGGUUGAUGAUGGGCAUGCGUUGUAUUAGCUGGUUGGUGAGGUAACGGCUCACCAAGGCGACGAUACAUAGGGGGACUGAGAGGUUAACCCCCCACAUUGGUACUGAGACACAGACCAAACUCCUACGGGAGGCAGCAGUGAGGAAUAUUGGUCAAUGGACGCAAGUCUGAACCAGCCAUGCCGCGUGCAGGAUGACGGCUCUAUGAGUUGUAAACUGCUUUUGUACGAGGGUAAACCCCGAUACGUGUAUCGGGUUGAAAGUAUCGUACGAAUAAGGAUCGGCUAACUCCGUGCCAGCAGCCGCGGUAAUACGGAGGAUCCGAGCGUUAUCCGGAUUUAUUGGGUUUAAAGGGUGCGUAGGCGGUUUGAUAAGUUAGAGGUGAAAUGUCGGGGCUCAACCCCGAAACUGCCUCUAAUACUGUUGGACUAGAGAAUAGUUGCGGUAGGCGGAAUGUAUGGUGUAGCGGUGAAAUGCUUAGAGAUCAUACAGAACACCGAUUGCGAAGGCAGCUUACCAAACUAUAUCUGACGUUGAGGCACGAAAGCGUGGGUAGCAAACAGGAUUAGAUACCCUGGUAGUCCACGCAGUAAACGAUGAUAACUCGUUGUCGGCGAUACACAGUCGGUGACUAAGCGAAAGCGAUAAGUCAUCCACCUGGGGAGUACGUUCGCAAGAAUGAAACUCAAAGGAU